rnacentral:rRNA from 1 species
GCAUUUGUAUGGUCUGGAGAAGCUUACUUGUCUUAUAGUUUAGCUGCUUUAUCUGUGUUUGGUUUUAUCGCUUGUUGUUUUGUAUGGUUCAAUAAUACAGCUUAUCCGAGUGAGUUUUAUGGACCCACCGGGCCAGAAGCUUCUCAAGCUCAAGCAUUUAAUUUUCUUGUUAGACACCAGCGUCUUGGAGCUAAUGUGGAUCUGCUCAAGGACCCACAGGUUUAG